GGAAGAAAACGAGAAGGGACGGACAAACACAAACUUCCAGUGGACAAACACAACUUCCAUGGAAGUUUGUGUUUGUCCGUCCCUUCUCGUUUUCUUCC
rnacentral:pre_miRNA from 1 species